UUAUUACAAGCGCUCUUUACAGGUGACCAACCAUCAUUGUCACAUUUAUAAUAAUCUGCUCCAAUGUCUAACAACAUCCUUACUUCUGUAUGUCCUUCACUACAAGCCCACUUUACAGGUGACCAACCAUGAUUGUCACAUUUAUUAUAAUCUGCUCCAAUGUCUAACAACAUCCUUACUAUUUCAGUAUGUCCUUCACUACAAGCA
rnacentral:lncRNA from 1 species